rnacentral:rRNA from 1 species
GAUGAACGCUGGCGGCGUGCUUAACACAUGCAAGUCGAGCGGAAGGGCGAUGAGCUUGCUGGUCGCAUGUGAGGGGCGGGGGUGUGAAACACACGAGUAUCCCCCACCUAUAUGUCUGAGAACUCUACGGAACUGCGGAUAUAACACCGGAGAAUAUUUUGAACCGCGGGGUUCGAAAGAGAACGACGGUGUUGAGGGCUCGACUAGAGGGUUCGGCGCUGCAUUGGCUAGUUGGUACGGUAACGGCUUACCAAGGCUACCAUGCGUAGCCGACCUGAGAGGAUGAUCGGCCACACUGGAACUGAGACACGGACCAGACUCCUACGGGAGGCAGCAGUAGGGAAUCGUCGGCAAUGGGCGGAAGCCUGACGCAGCAACGCCGCGUGAGUGAUGAAGGCCUUCGGAUCGUAAAGCUCUGUUACGAGGGAAGAACCUAUGUGUACGUAAAUGGGCCGAUCUUGACGGUACCUAAUCAGGAAGCAACGGCUAACUACGUG